rnacentral:miRNA from 1 species
GGCAGUCUCCUUGGCUAG